UUGCAAAGUACUGGAUGACACGUUUGGUGUUCACAGUCUUUCCUGCUCCGGAUUCUCCACUGAGCAACAGAGACAACAAAACAAGGUUUCCCAAGUCACGAUCAUCGGUAGAACUCUACUGGAACCAGGAAAUAAGCUGAAAGGAAAUAAACCAGACCAAUAAUGACUAUGAUGA